UACAGAGGUGCCAAGCGUAGGCGGAAUCACUGGGCUUAAAGCGCGUGUAGGUGGGUCGUUAAGUGUCCGCGUGAAAUGCCCGGGCUCAACCUGGGAACUGCAUUUGUGACUGCAUGGCUAGAGUUUGGCAGAGGGGGGUAGAAUUCCACGUGUAGCAGUGAAAUGCGUAGAUAUGUGGAGGAAUACCGAUGGCGAAGGCAGCCCCCUGGGUCAAGACUGACGCUCAUGCACGAAAGCGUGGGGAGCAAACGAGGAUUAGAAACCC
rnacentral:rRNA from 1 species